rnacentral:rRNA from 1 species
AAUGAACGCUGGCGGCGUGCCUAACACAUGCAAGUCGAGCGAGAAAGCGACUUCGGUCGUGAGUAAAGCGGCGGACGGGUGAGUAACACGUGGACAACCUGCCUAGUAGUGGGGGAUAACUUGGGGAAACUCGAGCUAAUACCGCAUACGACCUCGGCCUCAUGGGCCGAGGGGAAAGAUGGCCUAUCCUUGGAAGCUAUUGCUAUUAGAGGGGUCCGCGUCCGAUUAGCUAGUUGGUGAGGUAACGGCUCACCAAGGCCACGAUCGGUAGCCGGCCUGAGAGGGCGAUCGGCCACACUGGAACUGAGACACGGUCCAGACUCCUACGGGAGGCAGCAGUGGGGAAUAUUGCGCAAUGGGGGAAACCCUGACGCAGCAACGCCGCGUGGAGGAUGAAGGCCUUCGGGUCGUAAACCCCUGUCAGAAGGGACGAACCGGGUGAAGUCAAAUAGGCUUC